rnacentral:rRNA from 1 species
AUGAACAUUGCUGCGGAUAACCAGGGUGUCGGAUUGGUCGUAUAUGAAGAUGUUAUGUAUAUACCACAACCUGGUGGAAGCUGGAACGGGAUUGACCAGCAAACUCUCCAUCGAUGCAUCCAUGGAUACAGUCCUGCACGCCGGGUGGCAUGGGGCAGCGAGCAUGGCGGUAGGCGUUUCCUCGGUUGUCCUAUAAAUGGACAAGAAUGUGCAUGGAGCUGUUGGGUUGAUCCGGAACAUGGAACUCCCAUGAAGAACUACCUGGCAAGCCUACAUCUGGACUUAGAAAAUACAUUGGUGAAACUAGAAGAUGCCAAUGAAGAGAAAAGUUACAAGGACAACCAUUUCCUUUCUAAGAACAAGAUGCUGAAGGAGCGACUUCUAUCAAUUAGUGCAGAUUCAAAGAAGAAAGAUUACGUAAUAUUUUUUGUAUUUCACUUCUACUGA